rnacentral:rRNA from 1 species
GUCUGCAACCCGACUCCGUGAAGCUGGAUUCGCUAGUAAUCGCGCAUCAGCCAUGGCGCGGUGAAUACGUUCCCGGGCCUUGUACACACCGCCCGUCAAGCCAUGGAAGCCGGGGGCGCUUGAAGUGCGUUGCCGCAAGGCGCGCCCUAGAGCGAAACCGGUGACUGGGGCUAAGUCGUAACAAGGUAUC